UUUUCGGAACGACGGCGUACUUUUUGUAGAACGGUCCGGCGAGUUGCAGUGACAUGCGAGGUUAAGGAGUACAGCUCCGGAGCCGAAGGGAAACCAAGUCUUAACUGGGCGUCUAGUAUGUUAAUGCAGACCCGAAACCGGGUGACCUAUCCAUGGGCAGGUUGAAGUUACCGUAAAAGGUAAUGGAGGACCGAACUCACAUCUGUUGAAAAAGGUGGAGAUGACCUGUGGAUAGCGGAGAAAUUCCAAUCGAACUCGGAGAUAGCUGGUUCUCCUCGAAAUAGCUUUAGGGCUAGCCUUGAGGUAAAGUCUAAUGGAGGUAAAGCACUGAUUGGACGCGGGUCCCCAAAAGGAUACCAACUUCUAUCAAACUCAGAAUGCCAUAUAGAUAUACUCAGGAGUCAGACUAUGUGAGAUAAGUUUCAUAGUCAAAAGGGAAAGAGCCCAGACCGACAGCUAAGGUCCCAAAGUGUGUGUUAAGUGGAAAAGGAUGUUAGGUUUCUAAGACAACUAGGAUGUUGGCUCAGAAGCAGCCACUCAUUUAAAGAGUGCGUAACAGCUCACUAGUCGAGAGGUCUAGCGCCGAAAAUGUCCGGGGCUAAAACACACCACCGAAGCUACGGAAUUACCUAUGGUAAUUGGUAGAGGAGCAUUCUGUAAGGACGAAGCACAAUUGAAAGAGAGUGUGGACGAAACAGAAGAGAGAAUGCCGGAAUGAGUAGCGAGAUAUAUGUGAGAAUCAUAUAGGUCGAAUGUCUAAGGUUUCCUGGGUAAAGCUGAUCUGCUCAGGGUAAGUCGGGACCUAAGGUGAGGGCGAGAGCCGUAAUCGAUGGACAACAGGUAGAAAUUCCUGUACUACGUAUAAUCAGAACUGUGGGGACGCAGGAGGAUAGGAAAACCGGAGAAUGGAAAAAUCCGGCUAAGUACAAAGGUGUGAGUGAUAGGCAAAUCCGUCACUAUAAGCUGAAGUACGAAUGGGAGCGAAGAAAAGUAGCGAAGUUUCUGAAUCCACACUGUCAAGAAAAGCCGCUAUUGCGUUAUACGUACCCGUACCGCAAACCGACACAGGUAGACGAGGAGAAAAUCCACAGACCGACGGGAGAAGUGUUGUUAAGGAACUCGGCAAAAUGACCCCGUAACUUAGGGAUAAGGGGAGCCAACGCAAGUUGGUCACAGAAAAGAGGCUCAAGCGACUGUUUAGCAAAAACAUAGGUCUAUGCGAAACCGUAAGGUGAUGUAUAUGGGCUGACACCUGCCCGGUGCUGGAAGGUCAAAAGGAGAGGUUAGCGUAAGCGAAGCUUUGAAUUCAAGCCCCAGUAAACGGCGGCCGUAACUAUAACGGUCCUAAGGUAGCGAAAUUCCUUGUCAGGUAAGUUCUGACCCGCACGAAAGGUGUAACGAUUUGAGCACUGUCUCGACAACACGCCCGGUGAAAUUGAAGAACCAGUGAAGAUACUGGUUACCCGCAACAGGACGGAAAGACCCCAUGGAGCUUUACUGCAGCUUAAUAUUGGGAUUCGGUAUUGUAUGUACAGGAUAGGAGGGAGACUAAGAAGCUAGCACGCCAGUGUUGGUGGAGUCGAUGGUGGGAUACCUCUCUUAUAAUACUGAAUUUCUAACCUACUUCCGUGAUCCGGAAGAGGGACAUUGUUAGGCGGGCAGUUUGACUGGGGCGGUCGCCUCCGAAAGAGUAACGGAGGCGCUCAAAGGUCUUCUCAGAAUGAUUGGAAACCAUUCAAAGAGUGUAAAGGCAAAAGAAGGCUUGACUGCGAGAGUGACAACUCGAGCAGGUACGAAAGUAGGACUUAGUGAUCCGGUGGUAACAAGUGGGAGUGCCAUCGCUUAACGGAUAAAAGCUACCCUGGGGAUAACAGGCUUAUCUCCCCC
rnacentral:rRNA from 1 species